rnacentral:lncRNA from 1 species
UGCGAGUAUUCCAUCUUUCCAUUCUUCUUCUCUUCUCCUUUUCUUCUCCACUUUCUCUUUUUCUCUUUCUUUUUCUUUUUCUCUUUUUUUUUUGCACGUCACCUCUUCCUUUUUCAUCCCAUUGCUGAUCUUCCUUUCUCCUUUUUUUUUUCAGGAAUGGAUGUCGAAGCAGUACGGAUGCUUGCCAGGGGCCUCAAGGUUCACAAAAGGAAAGGCGCUGCGGCCUCCGGGUCGACAAAG